rnacentral:lncRNA from 1 species
AACGGCUACCGGGUUGAUUAUUUCCUCGAUAAAACUGUUUAUAAUAGAAGAAAAAAUGAUUUUUGUCGGCUUCUAUAAUUUGGCCACGGACCAUCUGGCAGAGCUUCAAAUACCCGUGUCAACGACACCGACCAAAUCUAUUCACGCACCCAAUUUUCAAAAUAUCCCUUCAAAAUUUGAAACCAUCGAUUUCUACCACACUAUAUUUGUGUUAUUAAUAUAUUUAUGUCUAUUUUAUAUAAUGCAAAUGAUUAUUAUAUUUUGUAGGUCACUUUUUGUAUUACCAAGUCAGCGAAUCGUACUAUCGAGGAGAAGUUAGAGCGACAAAUAUUUCCAGCC